UUAUUCCCAAGUAGCACGGGGCCCGAGAAAUCCUGUGUGAAUCUGGCGGGACCACCCGCUAAGCCUAAAUAUUCCCUGGUGACCGAUAGCGGAUAGUACCGUGAGGGACUGGUGAAAAGUACCGCGGGAGCGGAGUGAAAUAGUACCUGAAACCGUGUGCCUACAAGCCGUGGGAGCGUCGCGCAAGGACUUGUCCUUGCGUCGUGACUGCGUGCCUUUUGAAGAAUGAGCCUGCG
rnacentral:rRNA from 1 species